GAGUGGCGAACGGGUGAGUAACACGUGGGCAACCUGCCCAAAAGAGGGGGAUAACACUUGGAAACAGGUGCUAAUACCGCAUAACCAUAGUUACCGCAUGGUAACUAUGUAAAAGGUGGCUAUGCUACCGCUUUUGGAUGGGCCCGCGGCGCAUUAGCUAGUUGGUGGGGUAAAGGCUUACCAAGGCGAUGAUGCGUAGCCGAACUGAGAGGUUGAUCGGCCACAUUGGGACUGAGACACGGCCCAAACUCCUACGGGAGGCAGCAGUAGGGAAUCUUCCACAAUGGGCGAAAGCCUGAUGGAGCAACGCCGCGUGGGUGAAGAAGGUCUUCGGAUCGUAAAACCCUGUUGUUAGAGAAGAAAGUGCGUGAGAGUAACUGUUCUCGUUUCGACGGUAUCUAACCAGAAAGCCACGGCUAACUACGUGCCAGCAGCCGCGGUAAUACGUAGGUGGCAAGCGUUAUCCGGAUUUAUUGGGCGUAAAGGGAACGCAGGCGGUCUUUUAAGUCUGAUGUGAAAGCCUUCGGCUUAACCGGAGUAGUGCAUUGGAAACUGGGAGACUUGAGUGCAGAAGAGGAGAGUGGAACUCCAUGUGUAGCGGUGAAAUGCGUAGAUAUAUAGAAGAACACCAGUGGCGAAAGCGGCUCUCUGGUCUGUAACUGACGCUGAGGUUCGAAAGCGUGGGUAGCAAACAGGAUUAGAUACCCUGGUAGUCCACGCCGUAAACGAUGAAUGCUAAGUGUUGGAGGGUUUCCGCCCUUCAGUGCUGCAGCUAACGCAAUAAGCAUUCCGCCUGGGGAGUACGACCGCAAGGUUGAAACUCAAAGG
rnacentral:rRNA from 1 species